rnacentral:rRNA from 1 species
UACGUAGGGUGCAAGCGUUGUCCGGAAUUAUUGGGCGUAAAGGGCUCGUAGGCGGUUUGUCACGUCGGGAGUGAAAACUCGGGGCUUAACCCCGAGCCUGCUUCCGAUACGGGCAGACUAGAGGUAUGCAGGGGAGAACGGAAUUCCUGGUGUAGCGGUGAAAUGCGCAGAUAUCAGGAGGAACACCGGUGGCGAAGGCGGAUCUCUGGGCCUUACCUGACGCUGAGGAGCGAAAGCAUGGGGAGCAAACAGG